rnacentral:rRNA from 1 species
UACGUAGGGGGCAAGCGUUGUCCGGAUUUAUUGGGCGUAAAGAGCUCGUAGGCGGUCUGUCGCGUCGGCUGUGAAACCCCGAGGCUCAACCUCGGGCCUGCAGUCGAUACGGGCAGACUAGAGUGCGGUAGGGGAGACUGGAAUUCCUGGUGUAGCGGUGAAAUGCGCAGAUAUCAGGAGGAACACCGGUGGCGAAGGCGGGUCUCUGGGCCGUAACUGACGCUGAGGAGCGAAAGCGUGGGGAGCGAACAGG